GAUGAACGCUGGCGGCGUGCCUAAUACAUGCAAGUCGAGCGAACAGAUAAGGAGCUUGCUCCUUUGACGUUAGCGGCGGACGGGUGAGUAACACGUGGGUAACCUACCUAUAAGACUGGGAUAACUUCGGGAAACCGGAGCUAAUACCGGAUAACAUUUGGAACCGCAUGGUUCUAAAGUGAAAGAUGGUUUUGCUAUCACUUAUAGAUGGACCCGCGCCGUAUUAGCUAGUUGGUAAGGUAACGGCUUACCAAGGCAACGAUACGUAGCCGACCUAAGAGGGUGAUCGGCCACACUGGAACUGAGACACGGUCCAGACUCCUACGGGAGGCAGCAGUAGGGAAUCUUCCGCAAUGGGCGAAAGCCUGACGGAGCAACGCCGCGUGAGUGAUGAAGGGUUUCGGCUCGUAAAACUCUGUUAUUAGGGAAGAACAAACGUGUAAGUAACUGUGCACGUCUUGACGGUACCUAAUCAGAAAGCCACGGCUAACUACGUG
rnacentral:rRNA from 1 species